rnacentral:lncRNA from 12 species
GGGGGGGGGGGGGGGGGGGGGGGGGGGGGGGGGGGGGGGGGGGGGGGGGGGGGGGGGGGGGGGGGGGGGGGGAUGGGACAUUUGGGAUGUUAUGACAAAGGACAGGGAUUUGGGGAUAUUGGGAAAGUGGGGAUGGGACAUUUGGGAUGCUGUGACAAAGGACAGGGAUUUGGGGAUAUUAGAGACAGAAAACAGGGAUGGGACAUUUGGGAUGUCCUGACAAGCGACAGGAAUUUGGGGACAAACCCUCACCCCUGACCCAGCAGCUCACAGCAACAGGGGGAGCACAACCAGCAGCAAAUUUCCUGCAAAAAAAAACCCUCAAAUUCCGUCAGUUUUAGCCAUUCCCAUCCACCAAUCCCACUUUUCCACAACAAAAAAAUAAAAAGAAAAGGAGCCUGGAUUUGCCUCUGGUGACUAAAUUUAUUUAGCAAGGAAAAGCUCCCGGCUGCCUCCGGGUACAGCUCAGAAAACUGGGAACAGAUCCGUCACAUAAUCCAGGGAAAACGCCCUCAGGUGGGCACAACAACUAAAAAAUAAAGUGGAUUUUUGUUUUAAUUUAAAAGCUCCAAAGCAAUAUAAUCUAUGAUACAAUGUACACUGUACACAAGGGGGAGUUCACACACGGGGCAGGAAAAAAAAAGGGGAAAUAAAAAAAAAAUAAAAUAAAAAAAAAAGGGGGAAGUCUCAAAAUUCCAAACCAAACAAAAAAAAGGGUGAAGUCUCAAAAUUCCAAACCAAACAAAAAAAGAAAAAAAAAAAAAAAAAGGGGGAGAAUGCCAACGUUGCUCGAAAAUAAAAAUUGGGAGAGAAGAAUUGGCCGUGAGAGGAAGGGAAAAAAUGAGUUUUGGGUGAGAAAUCCAGGGGAUUAAAUAGAUUAAAAAAGCACUCAUGAUCCACAGGGUUGGGAUCUGGGAGAGGGGGGAGUGUAAGGCAACGAUCUCCAUAGAAAAAAGGGGAUUUUUCCAAAGGGGGUUAUAUAGAUAUUUAUAGCUAUUUAUAGACUUUAAAUAUAAAGUAGGAA